CCUACGGGUGGCAGCAGUGGGGAAUAUUGGACAAUGGGGGAAACCCUGAUCCAGCGACGCCGCGUGAGCGAAGAAGUAUUUCGGUACGUAAAGCUCUAUCAGCAGGAAAGAAAAUGACGGUACCUGACUAAGAAGCCCCGGCUAACUACGUGCCAGCAGCCGCGGUAAUACGUAGGGGGCAAGCGUUAUCCGGAUUUACUGGGUGUAAAGGGAGCGUAGACGGCGCUGCAAGCCUGAAGUGAAAGGCCGGGGCCCAACCCCUGGACUGCUUUGGAAACUGUAUGGCUGGAGUGCAGGAGAGGUAAGUGGAAUUCCUAGUGUAGCGGUGAAAUGCGUAGAUAUUAGGAGGAACACCAGUGGCGAAGGCGGCUUACUGGACUGUAACUGACGUUGAGGCUCGAAAGCGUGGGGAGCAAACAGGAUUAGAUACCCGGGUAGUC
rnacentral:rRNA from 1 species